GCCGGUAUUUUCUUCAAAAGAAUCCAGUGUAGGAAUUACUUCUGAGUAAUCAAAUGAAAAAUCAGGAAUCAAGUGAUAAUUUAAUAAAUUCAUUACGAAGAUGAGAACGCUAUUAUGAUACAUCCUUGAUGUCAGCACUUCGUUCAAGAAAUCACAAAUUUAUAACCUAUAUCUUCACAACUCCUCUUAAGCCUUGAAAAAGAAUCGGCUUUCACUUUUCAUUCAGGUAUCCACACUAUGCUCAUGUUUGGUGGAGAUUCUUUAUGCUCAUUUUUUCUUUACAACUACACAUUUCCCAAUAAAAUAAUUUUGCACGUGUACCCAUAACUUUUCCCAAGUAUCCAUACUAUGCUCAUGUUUGGUAGAGAUUCAUUAAACUCAUUGACAACUACACAUUCAACCAGUAAACUCAUAUACACUGAUGACUAAUUAAGAUACGAGAGCAAAAAGCAUUACAUCCUAAAUAUAUUGAGAUCAUAGUUUUUGUUUCUAGCCACUAUCACAAUAGAUGCUGCCUUUCUUCAUGAUCUAAAUUUAAAAGAAAAGGAAAUCUUAGGAUUAUAAAGUACACUAAAAAGAAAUACGAUCCCCAUCUCAAAGUAUGCCUCGAAGGUUGUAUCCCAAGCCAAAACCAAACAAAACCUAGAAAGUUUAUGUGUCAUGCAAAAUCAAACCAUCCCAAUACACUUGCACCUCAAUAAAAUAGAGUACAAACAGAGAGUUCCCGAGCAUCCCCCAAUUCUUGGAGUUAUGGGAUGAUCUUGGAAGUACAAUGAAAAACAAACUUAGCAAUUAAGAUAUAUCAAUAAUGGCAUAGUAGUUGCCAUAUCAUACCCCCAAUCCCUGUAGAUCAAAAUCCAAUCUUUAAAAAACAGUGUAUAACCAUCACCUACCAAUCAGUACACACAGAAUUGUGUGACUAUGAAAGCUUAUCAACAUUAUGCUGAAGGAAAAUCAAUAUUUUCCCCGUCAUUCCUAUCCUAGACCAGACUACACUGAGAAAAGUGCGCCAGAAAGCAGGGAAUUACAUCCCGGAUCUUUUUAAUGUUGAAGCUCAAUGAUUAAUAAAGCACAAGUUCACGAGGCAAAAAGCAGGGAAUUACAUCCCGGAUCUUUUUAAUGUUGAAGCUCAAUGAUUAAUAAAGCACAAGUUCACGAGGAAAUAUAGGCAAAAUAAAUAUUGAAGAAUUUUG
rnacentral:lncRNA from 1 species